rnacentral:rRNA from 1 species
UACGUAGGGGGCAAGCGUUGUCCGGAUUUAUUGGGCGUUAAAGAGCGUGUAGGCGGCUAGGUAGGUCCGUUGUGAAAACUCGAGGCUCAACCUCGAGACGCCGAUGGAAACCCCCUGGCUAGAGUCCGGAAGAGGAGAGUGGAAUUCCUGGUGUAGCGGUGAAAUGCGCAGAUAUCAGGAAGAACACCCGUGGCUAAGGCGGCUCUCAGUACGGUACUGGACGCUGAGACGCGAAAGCGUGGGGAGCGAACAGG